UCACCUAACUCCCUCGCGACAAGAGCUAAGCGCUUUGCAAACUUAUACAUAACUAUAUCAAAUAUAGAACUAGAGCAAACUAAGAACAUAAUAAUUAGAGACAUAAUGCAAUUAGAACAAUAGAAUUAGAGAAAGAUAUGAAUAAUACCAAUCUUUAUUACCGAAGAUCCGAAUCCAGAGCGUAGUGCUCUACUUCUCUAAUUGCUAUCUAAUCAACCUCUAAACUUGAAGGAUUAGGGAGUAGCUAAUUCUAAUUCACUGUGGGAGAGAAGCUCUAAACCCUAACUUUGAUGGCUACCUCUGAAUAAUGAUUUCUCCUCUCUCCUCCAGGGGCCAGGGUGUCUGGUUUUAUAGUCCCCUCAAGUGAACGUGAGCCAUUGGAUCAAACCGACAUAGAUUGUAUGGUUUAGAUUGAUCCUUUAGGUCGGUGGAGUCUUGCCCCGAAGCAGAGUCCUGUUUGGCCUCCAACCCUGGGCGGGCGCCCAAGGGGGGUGGGCGGGCGCCCAGCCCCCGAGCCCGAAUCGUGUCCCGUUCAUUCCCGUGGCUUCUGGAUCCUUCU
rnacentral:lncRNA from 1 species